GGGUUGUGAGGUUAAGCGACUAAGCGUACACGGUGGAUGCCCUGGCAGUCAGAGGCGAUGAAGGACGUGCUAAUCUGCGAAAAGCGUCGGUAAGGUGAUAUGAACCGUUAUAACCGGCGAUGUCCGAAUGGGGAAACCCAGUGUGAUUCGUCACACUAUCGUUAACUGAAUACAUAGGUUAACGAGGCGAACCGGGGGAACUGAAACAUCUAAGUACCCCGAGGAAAAGAAAUCAACCGAGAUUCCCCCAGUAGCGGCGAGCGAACGGGGAGCAGCCCAGAGUCUGAAUCAGCUUGUGUGUUAGUGGAACGGUCUGGAAAGUCCGACGGUACAGGGUGAUAGUCCCGUACACCAAAAUGCACAGGCUGUGAACUCGAAGAGUAGGGCGGGACACGUGGUAUCCUGUCUGAAUAUGGGGGGACCAUCCUCCAAGGCUAAAUACUCCUGACUGACCGAUAGUGAACCAGUACCGUGAGGGAAAGGCGAAAAGAACCCCGGCGAGGGGAGUGAAAAAGAACCUGAAACCGUGUACGUACAAGCAGUGGGAGCACCUUCGGGUGUGACUGCGUACCUUUUGUAUAAUGGGUCAGCGACUUAUAUUCUGUAGCAAGGUUAACCGUAUAGGGGAGCCGCAGGGAAACCGAGUCUUAACUGGGCGUUAAGUUGCAGGGUAUAGACCCGAAACCCGGUGAUCUAGCCAUGGGCAGGUUGAAGGUUGGGUAACACUAACUGGAGGACCGAACCGACUAAUGUUGAAAAAUUAGCGGAUGACUUGUGGCUGGGGGUGAAAGGCCAAUCAAACCGGGAGAUAGCUGGUUCUCCCCGAAAGCUAUUUAGGUAGCGCCUCGUGAAUUCAUCUUCGGGGGUAGAGCACUGUUUCGGCUAGGGGGUCAUCCCGACUUACCAACCCGAUGCAAACUACGAAUACCGAAGAAUGUUAUCACGGGAGACACACGGCGGGUGCUAACGUCCGUCGUGAAGAGGGAAACAACCCAGACCGCCAGCUAAGGUCCCAAAGUCAUGGUUAAGUGGGAAACGAUGUGGGAAGGCACAGACAGCCAGGAUGUUGGCUUAGAAGCAGCCAUCAUUUAAAGAAAGCGUAAUAGCUCACUGGUCGAGUCGGCCUGCGCGGAAGAUGUAACGGGGCUAAACCAUGCACCGAAGCUGCGGCAGCGACACUAUGUGUUGUUGGGUAGGGGAGCGUUCUGUAAGCCUGCGAAGGUGACCUGUGAGGGUUGCUGGAGGUAUCAGAAGUGCGAAUGCUGACAUAAGUAACGAUAAAGCGGGUGAAAAGCCCGCUCGCCGGAAGACCAAGGGUUCCUGUCCAACGUUAAUCGGGGCAGGGUGAGUCGACCCCUAAGGCGAGGCCGAAAGGCGUAGUCGAUGGGAAACAGGUUAAUAUUCCUGUACUUGGUGUUACUGCGAAGGGGGGACGGAGAAGGCUAUGUUAGCCGGGCGACGGUUGUCCCGGUUUAAGCAUGUAGGCUGGUUAUCCAGGCAAAUCCGGAUAAUCAAGGCUGAGGUGUGAUGACGAGGUACUACGGUGCUGAAGUAACAAAUGCCCUGCUUCCAGGAAAAGCCUCUAAGCAUCAGGUAACAUCAAAUCGUACCCCAAACCGACACAGGUGGUCAGGUAGAGAAUACCAAGGCGCUUGAGAGAACUCGGGUGAAGGAACUAGGCAAAAUGGUGCCGUAACUUCGGGAGAAGGCACGCUGGUGUGUAGGUGAAGUCCCUGCGGAUGGAGCUGAGACCAGUCGAAGAUACCAGCUGGCUGCAACUGUUUAUUAAAAACACAGCACUGUGCAAACACGAAAGUGGACGUAUACGGUGUGACGCCUGCCCGGUGCCGGAAGGUUAAUUGAUGGGGUUAUCCGUAAGGAGAAGCUCUUGAUCGAAGCCCCGGUAAACGGCGGCCGUAACUAUAACGGUCCUAAGGUAGCGAAAUUCCUUGUCGGGUAAGUUCCGACCUGCACGAAUGGCGUAAUGAUGGCCAGGCUGUCUCCACCCGAGACUCAGUGAAAUUGAACUCGCUGUGAAGAUGCAGUGUACCCGCGGCAAGACGGAAAGACCCCGUGAACCUUUACUAUAGCUUGACACUGAACAUUGAGCCUUGAUGUGUAGGAUAGGUGGGAGGCUUUGAAGCGUGGACGCCAGUCUGCGUGGAGCCAACCUUGAAAUACCACCCUUUAAUGUUUGAUGUUCUAACGUUGGCCCCUUAUCGGGGUUGCGGACAGUGUCUGGUGGGUAGUUUGACUGGGGCGGUCUCCUCCCAAAGCGUAACGGAGGAGCACGAAGGUUAGCUAAUCCUGGUCGGACAUCAGGAGGUUAGUGCAAUGGCAUAAGCUAGCUUGACUGCGAGCGUGACGGCGCGAGCAGGUGCGAAAGCAGGUCAUAGUGAUCCGGUGGUUCUGAAUGGAAGGGCCAUCGCUCAACGGAUAAAAGGUACUCCGGGGAUAACAGGCUGAUACCGCCCAAGAGUUCAUAUCGACGGCGGUGUUUGGCACCUCGAUGUCGGCUCAUCACAUCCUGGGGCUGAAGUAGGUCCCAAGGGUAUGGCUGUUCGCCAUUUAAAGUGGUACGCGAGCUGGGUUUAGAACGUCGUGAGACAGUUCGGUCCCUAUCUGCCGUGGGCGCUGGAGAAUUGAGGAGGGCUGCUCCUAGUACGAGAGGACCGGAGUGGACGCAUCACUGGUGUUCGGGUUGUCAUGCCAAUGGCACUGCCCGGUAGCUAAAUGCGGAAGAGAUAAGUGCUGAAAGCAUCUAAGCACGAAACUUGCCCCGAGAUGAGUUCUCCCUGAGACUUUAAGUCUCCUGAAGGAACGUUAAAGACGAUGACGUUGAUAGGCCGGGUGUGUAAGCGCAGCGAUGCGUUGAGCUAACCGGUACUAAUGAACCGUGAGGCUUAACCUUACAACGCCGAAG
rnacentral:rRNA from 1 species